rnacentral:rRNA from 1 species
ACUCCUACGGGAGGCAGCAGUGGGGAAUAUUGGACAAUGGGCGGAAGCCUGAUCCAGCCAUGCCGCGUGAGUGAAGAAGGCCUUCGGGUUGUAAAGCUCUUUCAGAUGCGAAGAUGAUGACGGUAACAUCAGAAG